UGGGGUUGUUUUUUGUUUCGUUUCGUUUGUUUGUUUGUUUUGUCAGGAGCAGAGGUGCAAGGAGGAGGUAAAACUCCAGGGUGAAUACACCCAUCCCUCACUCGGCGACUUUAAUUAAUUUCUAAAAGCCCUGCCCCUGACUGCAAAGCCAUAAAAAUGAAAAAAUGUUUUCAUUAAUUUUCAUGAAAAAAAUUAGAGCGCGUUCCAUCCCAUACCAAGACACCCAAUUUCUCACAGGCGGGAAAACAUAGCCAUUAGACAAGGAAAACAGGUUUAUGGAAGGAAUAAACAACGACCUGAAAUUAAACACUGUGGUUUGUAACUAAACUAUAACGCGAGGAACGUUUAGCUUCCCGCACGGGCGGGGCCAGUGCUCUGACGUCAGUGGGGAAGGCGGGGCUUCUCCCAGGACCAGCUUUCCCGCGGCGCCUUCCGGGUCGGCGGUAAUCUCGCCGAGAGGUAGUUAGAGAAAACGAACUUCAGCCAGAGUCAAGGCUGACCAGAGAGCACUUCCAAACAGAUGGAAGUGGGGGUGCAGGCAACAGCCUGAGCAGCGGUGCGAGCUGCCUCUUGCUUCUGCGCUGCUCGCUGCUCGGUGCACAACAGAGCAAACCGGUCUGGUUCGUGCAAACGUGGCCCCGACUCCAGCGGAUCACCCACGGGACAACCUCUGCCCGGAGACGGCCGACUGACGCAUCUGGCCUCAAGUCCCUAUUCAGUCUUUCAGCUCAGCGGCAACCAGACAUUUGGAUUUUAUACCUGGCAAGGUUUUCUAAAACGUUCUUGGGAUCCACAUAGGGUUGCCAACAUUUUCUUGUGUCAAAUAGGACAUGAAAAGCCGCAAGUCCUACCACCUGUUGCAAGCACUGUGUCACGAAAGGAUAACAAGUAAAAUAAAGGAUAACACUGCCUCGA